rnacentral:rRNA from 1 species
UACGGAGGGGGCAAGCGUUGUUCGGAAUUAUUGGGCGUAAAGGGCGUGUAGGCGGCCGAUCAAGUCGGGUGUGAAAUCCCUCGGCUCAACCGAGGAAUUGCACUCGAUACUGGUUGGCUAGAGUCCGGGAGGGGGUGGCGGAAUUCCCAGUGUAGCGGUGAAAUGCGUAGAUAUUGGGAAGAACACCGGUAGCGAAGGCGGCCACCUGGACCGGAACUGACGCUGAGGCGCGAAAGCCAGGGGAGCGAAU